rnacentral:lncRNA from 1 species
CCAAUGGGGCUGAGCAAAUCCCAAUAUUGAUCGCAAAGCCUCCUCUCCACUCUCCAUAUUCAUCACGCAUAGCCCUACCUGCUGUAGCCAAUCCCGGAUUUCCUUUAGAGGAUCCAUCAGUAUUCAAUUUGCACCAGCCAUUACCCGACUUACACCAUUCGAUCUGUCUCUCCACAUGCGCACCAACGGUCGAGCGGGGCCGCAGUUUCUUAUUUGCUAGUAUCACCUCCUGAGUCUUAUCUUUAACAAACUGCACCCUAUCUCGACACUUCCCAGUUUCACCGAAGACAUACCCACACCUCCAUUUCCAACACCACCACACAGUCAACGCAAACAUUGUAGGCCGUUGAUCUCCAUUAGCCGACGUAUCGUUUGUUAGAUUCUCAUACAGCCAUUCUAAAAGUGGUUGAUUAAAGAACCGCUGUUGUUUUCUUAGGUUCACAAGUCUUCUCCAUAGUCCCAUUGCAGCAGGGCAAUCUCGAAGGACAUGAAUGAUUGUCUCAUCUCCAUUCUUGCACAGUUGGCACAUUCCAUUAUCACUUAAGUGUCUCCGCUUCCUCUCCAUGUUCGUCAUGAUAACUUGGUGCGCAACCAACCAUAAAAAAACUCUAACUCUUUCUGGUACCAUAACCCGCCAAACCCGACUGUAGAAAGCCUCCAUAUUUGGUCUCGGUGACUCGUCUAUUGUCAAGAGUGCAUACGCUGAUUUCACAGAGAAGAGACCAUUCUUACUUCCUCCCCAAGACAUCCUAUCCUUAGCCCCUGUGACAUCAUCGAUCACCACCGAAGCUAAACGUAAUCGAUUCUCCGUCGAUAUGUACGGUUCAAUUUGUUGUGUUAACCAACCUAUCCCAUUCUGCCAUAAAUCACAAGCUUUUGCCUCCAACAGUGCUUCCGGAAUAUCCACCAUACUCAAGCCAUGUAGAGGUUCAUGCAACAACCAAUUAUCUUUCCAAAACCGUACUCGGCGACCAUCUCCUAGUAUCCAGGAAGCUCCUGGAAUCACAACUGCUCGAAUUCCCAACACCAAGCUCCUCCACGUCGCCGACCAGCUCCCCUGAGGCACCAACCAUGCUGAUUCAUGUAUCUCACCUACACGAAACUUCUUACGUAAGAUUUGCACCCAUAGUCCAUUUUGUUGAUAGAUGAGUAUUCUUUUAGAUUUUUUGAUCAAUAGUUGUAUUUUUUAAAUAUAAUUCUCAAAAAUUAUAUUUUAGGAAAGUUUUCAAUUUUUUUUAGAAAUGUUGUAGAUUUGGGGUUGUGAUUUAGAAAUUAGGAUGACAAUAAUUUUUGUUGAUAGAUGAGUAUUCUUUUAGAUUUUUUUGAUCAAUAGUUUUAUUUUUUAAAUAUAAUUUUCAAAAAAGUUUUCAUUUUUUCAUAGAAAUAUUGUAGAUUUGGGGUUGUGGUUCAGAAAUUAGGAUAACAAUAAUUUUUGUUGAUAGAUGAGUAUUCUUUUAGAUUUUUUUGAUCAAUAGUUUGUAUAUUUUAAAUAUAAUUUUCAAAAACUCUAUUUUAAGAAAGUUUUCAUUUUUUCAUAGAAAUAUUGUAGAUUUGGGGUUGUGAUUUAAAAUUAGGAUAACAAUAAUUUUUUUUUGGUAGAUGGCAGGAGACGAUAGUCUCCUACUUUUUAUUCAAGAUCAAAACUUGCGUUACAAGAAAAUCCGUCUAGCUCUAGCAAACCCAUGAAUAUCAUCUGACAAGAUAGAAGCAACAUGCUCCGGAGCAAACUCAAAGUAAUGUAAACCGUACGGUAAAGAAAAAGCAUAGUUAGCUAAUCCAUCUGCUAGACAAUUAGCCUCCCUAUACACAUGCGAAAUCUUGACUAACCAGUCUCUUGAUAUGUAGCCAUAGCACAAACGUACUAGGAAUGACAGGGGAUGAGAAUCAUGAAUCCCUGUCUUAAGAAAACCCACCACACUCUCGGAAUCAACCUCCACCUCUAGCCGUCGGAUCCCCUUAUCCCAUGCUAUACAGAGGCCGUAAUAAACACCCCAUAACUCUGCCAAUGGGGCUGAGCAUACAUUGGUGCAUGAUCUGAAGCUAAAAAAGGAAGAUGAGUGACCACUGCCUCAUCUUCAGUCGCAUCACCAUUGCCUUUGUUAUCGUCUUGAACAAGACAUUACAUAAACUAAUAGGCCGAAACUGCAUAAUUCUUUCUGGUUUGAGAACCUUUGGUAUAAGAACCACCAUUGCAUCAUUCAUGCCCUCCUGAAGAACUCUGGAUUCAAAGAACCCUAGCCCACACCGAGUUACUGAUUCCCCCACCACAUCCCAUGAGUCUUGGUAGAAGACAGGUUGAAAACCAUCUGGCCCUGGUGCCUUAUAUUUACCCAUCGAUCUCACCGAAGUCUCCAUAUCCACUGCCGAGAAAGGCUUAUUUAAGCUCUCCAGUUCAUCACGUGUAAAGUCAGUAAAACCAACCUGGGGUAGCUUUUCUGUAUCGAGAGAUAUAUCCUCAGUUGAAUACAAUGUUGUUUUCUUAGGUUCACAAGUCUUCUCCAUAGUCCCAUUGCAACAGGGCAAUCUCGAAGGACAUGAAGGAUUGUCUCGUUAUAUUCUCUAACACCCGCUUCAACUGUCCCCAGAGACCACUCCUUUGACUAACCGUAGGAGCCGCAUAGACUGCAAUAAUAUGUAUAAUCUCAGUCCCAAUCAUCACCCUCGCAUGAACAAACUGAUCCGAUGAUUCCAACACCGUAAUCACUCCCGCUUGAUCUCUCCAUAAAAUCCAAAUUCCACCACUUUGACCAAUAGCAUCUACACGAAAAGAGUUGUCAAACCCCAGGUUGUGGCAAAUCUUCAUUGCUUUAUCUCCACUCGCAUGAGUUUCGAACAAUGCCAGAAAAUCAGUUUGAUAUUUCUUCAGAAUAUACCUAAUAGACCGUCUGAAAUUAGGUUUAUUUGCUCCCCGGCAAUUCCAGAAUAAACAAUUCAUCAUCAUAAUUAUAAAAAUCUCCGAUUGAAUUCUCGGGGCACCCUGUUAUGCUAGGGAUCCCACUACCUCCUCCACCUGCACUGUCGUCGGUUCUUCCACCAUUUUCUUCU